rnacentral:misc_RNA from 1 species
CUGUUUUCAUACAGCUCGGCACGCCAUAAGUCUCUUUCUUUGAGACCGGGAAUAGUAGAUUGAAAAUGUUCAUUUCAAUCUCAUCGUCAAGAUGGAGGACACAACAUGGGAGCAGAGACUACAAGCCCUAACCCACGUCCUAACCAGCACCACAACACCACCACCUCUCUACUCUCAAUUAUUAAUCUCCAGACAAAUUCCGUGCUACCUCAACUGGGACUACCCACCGAUCCUCUGCACCAAAGACCCCAGGAUCUUCCCUUCUCUCCAUCUGAGGUGGGGAUUCUCUCUCUUUUUCAAAAGGGUCUCCAGAUUAGGGAUUCCUGAGACUUCUUGGAGGUCCAGGUGCCCAUACCAACAACCCCCACCGCUGAUUCUUGCAAAAGGAGUAGAGGAAGCACAGUGGGGUGAUGAGCAAAAAAGAGUAUAUUUUAGGAUGAGGAUGAGAAGAAAAAGACUUGGCAGUAAUAUUCAUCCUUCUAUUCCUAUUUUAGUUCCCAAUCUGUUACUGUUUUCACUUCUGCUCUGGAACCCUCUUCCUAAUCUUGAUUCUUAAGAAAUAUUGUGGGUUUGUAACAUGUGCAUGUAAUUAAAAUUGUAACAAUUUUCCAUCAUAACCAAACCAGAAUAACCAUG